GGGAGGGUUUGUAAAUGGUUGGCAGGGUUGUUUCGUUUCAGAAAGUUGGGUGUUAGGUGUUGUUCUGUUUUUUAAUCUACUGAUGUUAAAGAUUGUCUUCUAGCUAGAGCUUCAGUAAUAUGUUUGUUCUUCCAGUUUACAAAUGUAAUUGAUCUACAUAUAGUCUUUGUUUAUUUGAUGUAAA